ACCCCAAACCCUCUCAAAAAGAGAAAAAAAUCACAGAUCCUCCAAAACCAAAAGAACUGCCUAGCGCCUAGCGAUGCUGCGCGCGGCGGCCACGGCGGCGCUCCGGCGCCUCCCACAGUCACAGGCCCCGAGGAGACAAGCGCGCGGUCUCCAGUACGCGAGCCCGGAGCGGCGACCGCUGGAUGGUGCGAGGUGGGCGCUCUACGCGAGGCUGUCGGCGCACCUGCCGUCGGGUGGAAUGGUGGAGGAGCUCGGCCGGUGGCUCCGCGAGAGGCGCCCGCUCUCGGAGGAGCAGGUCCUCUUCUGCGUCCGCAGGUUCCGCAAGUUCAAGCAGAACAAGCACGCCCUCCAGUUGAUGGACUGGAUGGAAGCUCGUGGAGUGAACUUGGAGCUCAAGCAUCAUGCUUUGCGGCUUGACCUUGUUAGCAAACUGAAUGGUAUACAUGCUGCAGAAGAGUACUUCGGGAGCCUUCCAGAUAUUUUCAGGUCAAAGCAAACUUAUUCCACUCUGCUUAACUGCUAUGCUGAGCACCGGAUGGCAGAGAAAGGCCUAGAACUCUAUGAAAAUAUGAAAGCGAUGAACAUUGUUUCAGAUAUAUUGGUGUACAACAAUUUGAUGUGCUUAUACCUGAAGACAGAUCAACCAGAGAAAAUCCCCACUACAGUUGUAAAAAUGCAAGAAAGUGGUAUACAACCAAACAAGUUUUCAUACUUUGUGCUAACAGAAAGCUACAUUAUGAUGAAUGACAUAGAGUCCGCUGAGAAGGUCCUGAAAGAAUUGCAGGAGGUAAAUUCAGUUCCUUGGUCCUUGUAUGCUACACUUGCUAACGGUUAUAAUAAGCUGCAGCAGUUUGACAAGGCAGAAUUCACCCUUAAGAAAGCUGAGGAAGUUCUGGACAAGCAUGACGUUUUCUCUUGGCAUUGUCUUCUCUCCCACUAUGCCAAUUCCGGCAACUUGUCCGAGGUCAAGAGAAUCUGGGAGUCUUUAAAGUCUGCAUUCAAGAAAUGCACAAAUAGAAGCUAUCUAGUGAUGCUUAAAGCUCUGAAAAAGUUGGAUGAUUUUGACACCCUGCAGCAAAUCUUUCAGGAAUGGGAAUCAAGCCAUGAGCACUAUGACAUGAAAAUACCAAAUAUUAUCAUCCAAGCUUACCUUGAUAAGGGCAUGGUAGACAAAGCUGAGGCUAUGCGUCAGACAACCAUGGCUCAGGAUCAUUCCAACUACAGAACAUUUUGCAUAUUCGCAGAAUUCUAUUUGGAGAAAUCUAAAAUGAAUGAGGCACUGCAGGUCUGGAAAGAUGCAAAGAAAAUGGUGAAGGGGCAGGAUUGGGUGCCAGAAAAGCUUGUGAACAGAUAUCUGAAGCACUUUGAGGAUUCAAAGGAUGUGGAUGGGAUGGAGACGUUCUGUGAAUGCCUGAAGAAUCUCGGUCGCCUUGAUGCUGAAGCCUAUGAAGCCUUGAUCCGGACCUAUAUAUCUGUAGGUAGAACAAAUCCAUCCAUCCCUCAGCGCAUGGAAGUUGACAGGGUUGAUAUUCGGCCUGAAAUGUUUGAAUCGCUCAAAGCUAUCUCCACUGAAGGAGUUGAGAGUUGAGACUAGGGGCAUGUCUGGAUUUUUGCCAUCUACUACAUUUUGGGUGGUUCUCAGGAAAACCCUUUCAGUUGGAGGUCCUUGAAAUGGCUGGAGAUGAAAUUGAUGUCAAGCAGCCCACCCAGCAGCACUUUAAGCACUAACAAGUUAUAAUCAUGGCUGAAAAUGAACUGAAGGAUGAUGGUGUUAGGUUGCAAAAUCGUUGGAAGACGGGACACUGGGAUAUGAAGGAGCUUGAUGCUAGCAUGAAUAUGCUGCAAAGGGUGGGAGCUCGGUGCUUUACCCACGCAAUCACUAACAAGCCAGGUGGAAUUACAUCCAUUCAGAACUUGGUGGAUGUGAUGGAUUCAGUUGCAUGCAGGGCCUGACAGUUGAGGUGGACGAUUAGUCAUGUUUAGAUUAACUGGGGGUGCAGCUGAAGAAGCUACAUGGGAAGAUAUGCAGGACCUUCAGUUCAGAUUUCCUCAAGCACCAGCUUGGGGGCAAGCCGGUUUCCAAGAAUGGGGGCUUGUCAAGCCUUCUCUGCAACUACAGGAAGACAAGGUGAUCGAGAAGCCUGACGUUCGUGAGGAAGACAAGGAAGGAGAUGCAGAACAAGACAUCAAGAUCAAGCGGAGAAACUCUGAAGAUGCAGAAGAAGCUGGAGAAGCGGGAGAGAUCAUGCCGGACAAGCUACAGGAAGAACAACCCAUGCAUCCAAGAGCGAGACGGCCCAACCCACGCUAUGUCGGAGACCAAUGGGCCAAGUGAAGCCCAUUAACUUGUAACAGCUGGCAAUCCAGCUGGAGAGAGAGAGAUGCUGCAAACUCUUAUACUUGUCAGAGCAAGUUUAAUAGUGUAGCCAACUACUAGCUCCAAAUCACCUAUAG